AGUGGCGAACGGGUGAGUAACACGUGAGUAACCUGCCCUUGACUCUGGGAUAAGCCUGGGAAACUGGGUCUAAUACCGGAUAUGACUCCUCAUCGCAUGGUGGGGGGUGGAAAGCUUUUGUGGUUUUGGAUGGACUCGCGGCCUAUCAGCUUGUUGGUGGGGUAAUGGCCUACCAAGGCGACGACGGGUAGCCGGCCUGAGAGGGUGACCGGCCACACUGGGACUGAGACACGGCCCAGACUCCUACGGGAGGCAGCAGUGGGGAAUAUUGCACAAUGGGCGAAAGCCUGAUGCAGCGACGCCGCGUGAGGGAUGACGGCCUUCGGGUUGUAAACCUCUUUCAGUAGGGAAGAAGCCGCAAGGUGACGGUACCUGCAGAAGAAGCGCCGGCUAACUACGUGCCAGCAGCCGCGGUAAUACGUAGGGCGCAAGCGUUAUCCGGAAUUAUUGGGCGUAAAGAGCUCGUAGGCGGUUUGUCGCGUCUGCUGUGAAAG
rnacentral:rRNA from 1 species